rnacentral:lncRNA from 1 species
UUUAAUAUUUCUAUGAUGAGUCAUUAAGUCACCUUAUAUCUUUGUAGCUUACCUUUGAAGCCUAACUUGUGGUUAGCCAGAACAUUCCCAAAAGGCAUCUCCAAAGAGAAUUAUAAUUGUCUUUGACCUAAAUAACAAGCUCUAACAGACUACAGUAAUACAUUGGCCAGCACAAUCCAGACCUGGUGUAUGGGAGAUGCACAGAAUAAUGGGUUGUUGAGCUCUGCUCCUUAUUCAUUCUUGGACAGCAUCUUGGGCAGCAUGUGCAUGAACAGGCAGUCAAACCAGGAUAUGAUCUGCUACUCAUGCUGUAGGAGGUCAGCCGGUGCUGAGGGGGAUUGCUUCAUUUGCCAUCCAUCCAUGCCUCUCAGGUUUUUGAAGAUUAAUUAUUUAUCAAAGAUGCUUCUGCAAGAAGUUUGGGCACUACAUGUCGUCUUAAAUUAUUCCUGA